rnacentral:rRNA from 1 species
UACGGAGGGUGCAAGCGUUAUCCGGAUUCACUGGGUUUAAAGGGUGCGUAGGUGGGCUAGUAAGUCCGUGGUGAAAUCUCUGAGCUUAACUCGGAAACUGCCGUGGAUACUAUUAGUCUUGAAUCUCGUGGAGGUAGCGGAAUAUGUCAUGUAGCGGUGAAAUGCUUAGAUAUGACAUAGAACACCGAUAGCGAAGGCAGCU